UUGAACGCUGGCGGCAUGCCUUACACAUGCAAGUCGAACGGCAGCACGGGGCAACCUGGUGGCGAGUGGCGAACGGGUGAGUAAUAUAUCGGAACAUACCCUAGAGUGGGGGAUAACGUAGCGAAAGUUACGCUAAUACCGCAUACGAACUAAGGUUGAAAGUGGGGGAUCGCAAGACCUCAUGCUCAUGGAGUGGCCGAUAUCUGAUUAGCUAGUUGGUGAGGUAAAGGCUCACCAAGGCGACGAUCAGUAGCUGGUCUGAGAGGACGACCAGCCACACUGGAACUGAGACACGGUCCAGACUCCUACGGGAGGCAGCAGUGGGGAAUUUUGGACAAUGGGGGCAACCCUGAUCCAGCAAUGCCGCGUGAGUGAAGAAGGCCUUCGGGUUGUAAAGCUCUUUUGUCAGGGAAGAAACGGUCUACUCUAAUACAGUGGGCUAAUGACGGUACCUGAAGAAUAAGCACCGGCUAACUACGU
rnacentral:rRNA from 1 species